AGCGAACGCUGGCGGCAUGCCUAACACAUGCAAGUCGCACGGGGGGGCUUCGGCCUCCCAGUGGCGGACGGGUGAGGAACGCGUAGGGACCUGUCGAGGGGUGGGGGAUAACCGCGGGAAACUGCGGCUAAUACCGCAUGACGCCGCGGCGUGACAGCCGGGGCCAAAGGCGAAAGCCGCCCGCCGAGGGGCCUGCGUCCGAUUAGCUGGUUGGCGGGGUAGCGGCCCACCAAGGCGUCGAUCGGUAGCUGGGCUGGGGGGGUGGUCGGCCACACGGGGACGGGGACACGCCCCGGCCCCCGAGGGGGGGAAGCAGGGGGGAAUUUUGGACAGGGGGCGAAAGCCUGACCCCGCAAGGCCGGGGGGGUGAAGAAGGUUUUGGGAUUGUAAAGCCCUUUCGGCGGGGACGAUGGGGAGGGUACCCGCAGAAGAAACCCCGGCAAACUGGGG
rnacentral:rRNA from 1 species